UACGGAGGGUGCAAGCGUUAUCCGGAUUCACUGGGUUUAAAGGGUGCGUAGGCGGGUAGGUAAGUCAGUGGUGAAAUCUUCGGGCUCAACCCGGAAAUUGCCGUUGAUACUAUCUAUCUUGAAUAUCGUUGAGGUUUGCGGAAUAUGUCAUGUAGCGGUGAAAUGCUUAGAGAUGACAUAGAACACCUAUUGCGAAGGCAGCAGGCUAAACGAAGAUUGACGCUGAGGCACGAAAGCGUGGGGAU
rnacentral:rRNA from 1 species